AGGCAAGUGGAACCAACAACUCAAGUGGCAGGAACGGGGGAACCAACUACCGGUCGCCCGGACUGACAGUCCGAACGACCUUGGGGUGAAGCCCGCAUCUGCGGGCCGGGCGUCUCCAGUCCGAACCCGACAGCUCACCUCGUCGGCUCAACAGGAGAAAGCA
rfam:Actinomyces johnsonii F0510 genomic scaffold Scaffold476, whole genome shotgun sequence.